AGAACAUGAGACUUCAAAGAAAUUCCUACAAUGAACUGGUUUUGCCUAAUCUUAAAUCGUUCUUUUUUCUCCACCUCCUCACAUUCUUUGCUGCACUUAAGCAGUAAAGUUUGAGAAAAAUUGCUAUGUCGACUUGAUUCAAUAUCAUAGAUCUAGCCUUUUGCUUAAAGAUGGCCACAAUUUAUUUAUUCAACCGUUAUUUAUUGAUGGCCUACUAUGUGUAGCAUUGUAUAACGUGCAUUUCCUCUUCUUUUCUCUGCAGCAGCCCUAUACUAUGUAAGGCAGCUUCCUUUCAACCUCGGUAAUCCAAGCUGCACUUUACGCCUACACAUUUUUAAGCCCUUGAGAAGCAUGACUGCCCUCAAAGCCAUCAGCACAGAGGAGGGGAGCUGUCACAUCCUAGACUGACCUUCAGCUGAGAGGUGAGCCGCGGAGCCCUGGAGACAAAAGAAAGGAGACCUGGCGAGAGACAGAAUGAUAAGAAGAGUCCUGGGCAGCAAGGCAGACCUUGUUUCUGCUUCAGCGUGGGCCAACAACUGGGUGUGCUAACUUGUAGAGAAGAGAAACGGAGGUUUGGAGAGGUUAACCUGCCCGCAGUCAUGGCUGUCAGAGAGUUUGCCAGCCUUUGCUCGAGGGCCCAUUUGUCAUCUGUAUUGAACCAGCAGGAAUAAAAGAGCAUGGAGAAGUUAUAAACACUUCUUUAAAGCCUUGGAUCAGAGAAGAUUCAGAGGAUCAAGUGGAGGAUUCCAAGGCCCCAGGAGAUGGAUCAGCCAACAGAUGGAAGGAGCAGCCUGGAACCCUGAAUUACUGAGAAGAGCAAAGUUUCCUUCCCACACUCUUCCCUCUGCCCUAUCCCCACUGAGUCACACUGGAUUGUAACAUGAGCCACAAAUAAGUCUUCAUUUUGUUAAGCUGCUGAGAUUAUGGGAUAUUUUAGCACAACAGCUAUCAUUUCCCCUGCCUAAUAUAAGGAGCUUGUGGACUGGUAGGAAAAAUAGGACAAAUAUAAAAAAUUACAAUACAAAUUGGAAAGUGAGAAGGACC
rnacentral:lncRNA from 1 species